AUUGAACGCUGGCGGCAGGCUUAACACAUGCAAGUCGAGCGGAGAUGAGGUGCUUGCACCUUAUCUUAGCGGCGGACGGGUGAGUAAUGCUUAGAAAUCUGCCUAUUAGUGGGGGACAACAUUCCGAAAGGAAUGCUAAUACCGCAUACGCCCUACGGGGGAAAGCAGGGGAUCUUCGGACCUUGCGCUAAUAGAUGAGCCUAAGUCGGAUUAGCUAGUUGGUGGGGUAAAGGCCUACCAAGGCGACGAUCUGUAGCGGGUCUGAGAGGAUGAUCCGCCACGCGGGGACUGAGACACGGCCCAGACUCCGACGGGAGGCAGCAGUGGGGAAUAUUGGACAAUGGGCGGAAGCCUGAUCCAGCCAUGCCGCGUGUGUGAAGAAGGCCUUCUGGUUGUAAAGCACUUUAAGCGAGGAGGAGGCUACCUGGAUUAAUACUCUAGGAUAGUGGACGUUACUCGCAGAAUAAGCACCGGCUAACUCUGUGCCAGCCGCCGCAGUAAUAC
rnacentral:rRNA from 1 species